CAGCCGCCACGGUAACACGUAGGUGGCAAGCGUUGUCCGGAAUUGUUGGGCGUAAAGGGCUCGCAGGCGGUUUCUUAAGUCUGAUGUGAAAGCCCCCGGCUCAACCGGGGAGGGUCAUUGGAAACCGGGAAACUUGAGUGCAGAAGAGGAGAGUGGAAUUCCACGUGUAGCGGUGAAAUGCGUAGAGAUGUGGAGGAACACCAAUGGCGAAGGCGACUCUCUGGUCUGUAACUGACGCUGAGGAGCGAGAGCGUGGGGAGCGAACAGGAUUAGAUACCCCGGUAGUCCCUGUCUCUUAUAC
rnacentral:rRNA from 1 species